AGAGCAAAGCGCAUGGCUUGCUCAAUUACCCUUUUUAACAAAGGCAAAGAAAGCUCCCAUGGAAUUGACUGAGGAGGAGGAGGAGCCUACUUUGAGGGUGUCUGAGAAGAAAGGAACUAUUGCUGGCGCAGUUGCUCUUAUUAUUGGUACCAGUAUCGGUUCUGGGAUACUAGCUCUCCCUGAGAAAGCUUCUCCUGCCGUAACUCUCUCUCUCUCUGUUUCUUGUUGAAUGGGAUUGUGGAAAUUAACAGUGAGGUGCCACAUUAAAUAGAUGAAACGACUUGUCGUCUAAU
rnacentral:misc_RNA from 1 species